rnacentral:tRNA from 1 species
UCCUCUGUAGUUCAGUGGUAGAACGUCGGACUGUUAAUCCGUAUGUCACUGGUUCGAAUCCAGUCAGAGGAG